rnacentral:rRNA from 1 species
ACGAACCGUACGAACGUUAUUCGGAAUUACUGGGCUUAAAGGGUGCGUAGGCUGCGCGGAAAGUUGGGUGUGAAAUCCCUCGGCUCAACCGAGGAACUGCGCCCAAAACUACCGUGCUCGAGGGAGACAGAGGUGAGCGGAACUUAGGGUGGAGCGGUGAAAUGCGUUGAUAUCCUCAGGAACACCGGUGGCGAAGGCGACUCACUGGGUCUUUACUGACGCUGAUGCACGAAAGCUAGGGUAGCAAACGGGA